rnacentral:rRNA from 1 species
GGUAAUGUCUGGGAAACUGCCUGAUGGAGGGGGAUAACUACUGGAAACGGUAGCUAAUACCGCAUAACGUCGCAAGACCAAAGAGGGGGACCUUCGGGCCUCUUGCCAUCGGAUGUGCCCAGAUGGGAUUAGCUAGUAGGUGGGGUAACGGCUCACCUAGGCGACGAUCCCUAGCUGGUCUGAGAGGAUGACCAGCCACACUGGAACUGAGACACGGUCCAG